GGCGUGGUGGCAGAGUGGUCUAAUGCGAUAGACUAGAAAUCUAUUCUCUUCGGAGGCGUCUGUUCGAAUCAGGCCCACGUCG
rfam:Nectria haematococca mpVI 77-13-4 chromosome 3 genomic scaffold NECHAsca_2_chr3_3_0, whole genome shotgun sequence.